rnacentral:pre_miRNA from 7 species
GUCUUCAGAUCUUGUAAGACCCCCUUUCGGGGACCCCUACUCUAGUCUCGGGAGUGUGAGAGCACCCAAAGAAACAUGAGGACCC